rnacentral:rRNA from 1 species
CCUACGGGAGGCAGCAGUGGGGAAUAUUGCACAAUGGGGGAAACCCUGAUGCAGCGACGCCGCGUGAGUGAAGAAGUAUUUCGGUAUGUAAAGCUCUAUCAGCAGGGAAGAACAUGACGGUACCUGAUUAAGAUGCCCCGGCUAACUACGUGCCAGCAACCGCGGUAAUACGGAGGGGGCAAGCGUUAUCCGGAUUUACUGGGUGUAAAGGGAGCGUAGACGGUUGGAUAAGUUAGAGGUGAAAUCCCGAGGCUCAACUUCGGAAUUGCAUUUGAUACUGUUCGGCUAGAGUGUAGUUGAGGUAGGCGGAAUGCAUGGUGUAGCGGUGAAAUGCGUAGAGAUCAGGCAGAACACCGAUUGCGAAGGCAGUUUACUGAGCUACUUCUGACGGUGAGGCACGAAAGCGUGGGGAGCAAACAGGAUUAGAUACCCCGGUAGUC